CAAUAAGCGGAGGUAAAGAAACCAACAGGGAUUGCCCUAGUAACGGCGAGUGAAGCGGCAACAGCUCAAAUUUGAAAUCUGGCCUCUGGCCCGAGUUGUAAUUUGUAGAGGAUGCUUUUGGUGAGGUGCCUUCCGAGUUCCCUGGAACGGGACGCCAUAGAGGGUGAGAGCCCCGUCUGGUCGGACACCGAUCCUCUGUAAAGCUCCUUCGACGAGUCGAGUAGUUUGGGAAUGCUGCUCUAAAUGGGAGGUAUAUGUCUUCUAAAGCUAAAUACCGGCCAGAGACCGAUAGCGCACAAGUAGAGUGAUCGAAAGAUGAAAAGCACUUUGAAAAGAGGGUUAAACAGUACGUGAAAUUGUUGAAAGGGAAGCGCUUGUGACCAGACUUGGGCUUGGUUAAUCAUCCAGUGUUCUUCACUGGUGCACUUGGCCGGCCCAGGCCAGCAUCAGUUCGGUGCGGGGGAUAAAGGCUUCGGGAAUGUGGCUCCUCCGGGAGUGUUAUAGCCCGUUGCGUAAUACCCUGCGCUGGACUGAGGUUCGCGCAUCUGCAAGGAUGCUGGCGUAAUGGUCAUCAGCGACCCGUCUUGAAACACGGACCAAGGAGUCGUCUUCGUAUGCGAGUGUUCGGGUGUUAAACCCCUACGCGUAAUGAAAGUGAACGCAGGUGAGAGCUUCGGCGCAUCAUCGACCGAUCCUGAUGUUCUCGGAUGGAUUUGAGUAAGAGCAUACGGGGCCGGACCCGAAAGAAGGUGAACUAUGCCUGUAUAGGGUGAAGCCAGAGGAAACUCUGGUGGAGGCUCGCAGCGGUUCUGACGUGCAAAUCGAUCGUCAAAUAUGGGCAUGGGGGCGAAAGACUAAUCGAACCUGCUAGUA
rnacentral:rRNA from 1 species